GAGCGGCUCCGGCGGGAGCGGCGCCUCCGGCGGCGGUGAGCCCCGAGCGGGCUGAGGGAGGGACGGGGCUGCCUGGGUGGCAUCAAAACAGAACGCUCAAGCCUUGGGAUGUGUCUUGGCAGCACUGCGAUGUGCGAUAUGUACCUCACACUGCGUGGACCUGUCAUUAGCAUUGGUGACAGCAAUCCUCGUCACCAACAAAUCCACUGAUUCGAGCAGUUGGUUACAGUUGGACUGGAAGUCCCCAGCUAGCAGUCAUUUUUGGAAGGUCAAGAUCGCCAGCAUCAUUGAGAAGAACUGGGGACUGGACUAAUUGGAGGAGAAGCAGCUUGCUUGCAGCAGGAAUGCAGUGUGUUACUUUCUGGUGAGCAGGGAGUUUCUGCAAUUUGCAAAUCAAAACCGAACAUCAACCAACCAAAUCUCUUCCAGGGCCAUUCUGGAUUUCCUUAGGCUAUAAAAACGUUUAAGCCUCUAAACAUAUCAGACCUGUUUUCCUGCAUUCCACAUCUACAGCUUACCUGUACCCUAAAGGUAAGAUGAAAUCACUAUCUCAUGCCUUCCUAAAGGAUUACAGUGGCAGGCUCUCUAAAAAUCCUCCCUACAUUCUCUUUCAGAACAUAAAGGAAACAGAGAAGUGUCACAAUGCAAGGAACCCUGAGCGGUACUACUUCCAUGGAGAAGAAAUGCCUCCUCAGAGGUGAAGUGAGUAGCAGCUGUGAGUCACAGUGGCGGUGCAGGCUCUGUUGGAUGGGAACUUGUUUUCUCAGCGUCUGUUCCGUGAGCCGCCAUCCCGCGCAGCUCGCUCAGAAUGCUGCCUGCACAGAGCGCACGAGGACAGGAUCAAGCUGAGCUGGGAGUAGCGUUGUGUGCGUCUACCAAGAGGAGGUGGCUGAUAGGAAGCUUCAUGGGAGUGCCCAUGCUGAUUAUGAUGGCUAGUGUGUCCGCUAGAAACAGAGCCAAAGAAAACUGGGCAGAUGAAGCCUUCCACUGGAGCAAAAG